ACGCGCUGUGCAGAACACUUCCGGAGCUGCGGGGACGGCUCUGCCGGAGGAAGCAGCGGGGGCCUGACCCGGGUCCGCCGGCCGCCUCCGCUGCCGCUACGCCUCAGUCAGACUCUUUUGGUCUGGCUUGACCUGGUCUGGCCGGCUUGAGUUCUGCGGCCGUGAGGUCGCGGCUCCCGAUGGAAAUCCUAUGACACAGACAGUUUGGGUGAUAUCUGCAGGAAAGAUCUUUAAACAUUACAGAAGACAAAAAAACGCUAAUGCAUUUGAGAAGACGAUAAAAGUUGGGAGUAGGGGGAAAAAAGCAACUGCUUUCCUGAUCUGCAACUUGGCUGGAUGUUAAGAUGUCGGUGGACAUGAACAGCCAAGGGUCUGACAGCAAUGAAGAGGACUAUGACCCAAACUGUGAGGAAGAGGAAGAAGAGGAGGAGGACCCUGGGGACAUAGAGGACUACUAUGUGGGAGUAGCCAGUGAUGUGGAGCAGCAGGGGGCUGAUGCUUUUGACCCCGAGGAGUAUCAGUUCACUUGCUUGACCUAUAAGGAGUCGGAGGGUGCCCUCCAUGAGCAUAUGACCAGCUUAGCCUCUGUCUUAAAGGUAUCUCAUUCAGUUGCAAAACUUAUAUUAGUUAAUUUCCACUGGCAAGUCUCAGAGAUUCUGGACAGGUACAGGUCUAAUUCUGCUCAGCUGCUUGUUGAGGCUCGAGUUCAACCUAAUCCAUGCAAACAUGUCCCCACAGCCCAUCCCCCUCACCACUGUGCAGUGUGUAUGCAGUUUGUGCGGAAGGAAAACCUGCUCUCUCUGGCCUGCCAACAUCAGUUUUGCCGAAGCUGUUGGGAGCAGCAUUGCUCAGUACUUGUCAAAGAUGGUGUCGGUGUAGGAAUCUCAUGUAUGGCUCAGGAUUGUCCACUUCGAACACCAGAGGACUUUGUAUUUCCCUUGCUUCCCAACGAAGAAUUGAGAGAUAAAUACAGGCGCUACCUCUUUAGGGACUAUGUGGAGAGUCAUUAUCAGCUCCAGCUGUGCCCUGGUGCAGACUGCCCCAUGGUUAUUCGGGUACAGGAGCCCAGAGCUCGCCGAGUGCAGUGCAAUCGGUGCAACGAGGUCUUCUGUUUCAAGUGUCGACAGAUGUAUCACGCCCCCACAGACUGUGCCACAAUCCGGAAAUGGCUCACCAAAUGUGCAGAUGACUCCGAGACGGCUAACUACAUUAGUGCUCACACUAAAGAUUGUCCCAAGUGCAACAUCUGCAUUGAGAAGAACGGAGGCUGCAAUCACAUGCAAUGCUCCAAGUGUAAGCAUGACUUCUGCUGGAUGUGCCUAGGAGACUGGAAGACGCAUGGUAGUGAGUACUAUGAAUGUAGUCGGUACAAGGAGAAUCCUGACAUUGUCAACCAGAGCCAGCAAGCACAGGCCAGGGAGGCCCUCAAGAAGUACUUGUUCUACUUUGAAAGGUGGGAAAAUCACAACAAAAGCUUGCAGCUGGAGGCACAAACAUACCAGCGGAUUCACGAGAAGAUUCAAGAGAGGGUUAUGAACAAUCUGGGAACGUGGAUUGACUGGCAGUACCUGCAGAAUGCUGCCAAGCUGUUAGCCAAGUGUCGAUAUACCCUGCAAUACACCUAUCCAUAUGCAUACUACAUGGAAUCCGGUCCCAGGAAGAAGCUGGCCCUGCCCGGCUACAGCCCUCUCUCCUUUUGACCCUCCUGCUCUGCCCAUACAGUUUGAAUACCAGCAGGCUCAGCUGGAGGCUGAGAUCGAAAACCUUUCAUGGAAAGUUGAGCGUGCAGACAGCUACGACAGAGGGGACUUGGAAAACCAGAUGCACAUAGCAGAGCAGCGGAGAAGAACCCUGCUAAAGGAUUUUCAUGACACCUAAACUGGGCUGUGGCUGCCGGGGUGAGGAAGAUAUAGCUGUGAGGCUCCCGGCUCCGUACUGCAUGCUGCAGACUCAGCCUUUCAUGACCCAGGCAACAGCCAGGGCCCCACUCCUGAAAGACACUGGCAACACACCUCUUAGUCGAUUUGUUUUCUCCUCAUCUUUUUGCUUUUUGUUUCUACCAGGGUAGAGGCCAUGUUGAGCUGGCCUCUAGUGAGGACUUUACAUUUCCCCUGGAUGGUUGUUGGGCGGGAGGGAACUUUUUUUUUUUUUCUGAAUGGCUAUUAAUAGUAUUAGAUCAUUACAACUUAUGUAAUUUUCAAAGGUUGUACGAUUAUAAAGGAAAGAGGCAAACCAUAGAUAACACAGAGCCCAAUUACAAUAAACUGGCAUUGGAGUGCUUCCCCCUUAGCUAUCUGACUUAGAAUGUAACUUGAUACUGCCUGCCCACCCAGCCUCAGCCUGUCUGCACUGCCGGGGGCCCUGGGGUGGCCUCUGCUUUCCAGCAUUCUGUUUGACUGGAGCUGGAGUCCUGGGGAAGAGCACGGGUGGCAGCAUAGGGAGCUGAGUUGGCCUACUUCAUAGGAUGCAGCACAGACUUACAUACCUCUGGCCUUAGCUGGAUAGCCAGGGCACAGAGCAGAGCAAGGUCUCACUGCAAGCUUGCUUCUAUUCUUGAAUGUGAGGUUUCCCUGAGUCAGGCCACCCAGACCAGCACCCACAGCAGAGGUGGGUUAAUGCAUCUCUGGACUGGGAGACUGGUUCAGCAUGGUGCUUCCUUUUGUUUCAUAAAGAUAAGAAAUCCACCUUUGAAAAGAGUUGUUCCCCCAGAUGAGUUUCCUUUUCCUUGGUCGUUUGUUUUGAUCCAGUAUUCAAGUGGUGUACUCUGACCCAGGUCACUGUCUUGUUAUGUUCUUAUGAACAGAGUUCACAAGGUCAGAGUUCAGCAUGGCUCUUAGACCAAGGGCAUGGGCCUUGUGGCUCAAGAGCUAGGUUUGCACAAGUUAUUUUUAUGUUCACCUAGAGUGUGGCCAGAAGCUGCUCCAGGGUGGGGUGUGUUUCGCUUUGCCUAGUUGCAGCUCCCAAAAGUCCCCAUCUCUAUGGUCUGGGAGUCUAAGGCCAGGAAAAUCCCUGGUUUGUGGUCUCAGUUCCUGUACUAGAAGGGGCUGGCCAGAAGAAAGGACCAGUUCUUGCACAGUCAAGUGCAAGGGAACAGGCAGCUUGCCUGGUGUCCUUCCUAUCUUGAACCUGGUCCUGUGGGCCUUUGAAAAGUUAGAUCUGUGAUCUCUGGGGUUUCCAUGGCUUUGUUCAGUGCCUCCCCUCUGAGACUGGCAGAGCUGUCUAUACUUGACAGGACCUCCUUGAACUCCUAGGAGAGCCUAUAGAGAAAUCUGUGAAUGUUAUGAUACAGAUUCUUUGAUAGUCAUACAUUCUCACCUCCAGUCAGCAGUUUCCUAGGUACCAUGUAAAGCUGUAAAAUUGAGUUAUUCUUGAAGACAGGUGACAGCUGUGACGCUUGGGUACACAACCAGCUGCACAUCCUCUUUCACCUCCUCAGGUUUUGUCUCUUCAUGUCGUCCCUGACAAGUGAGAUUGUGAGGUGGAUUGGGAGUAGUAGUUUGGGGCAUGGUGAAUGGACCCAGAAUACCAAUGGGAGCUGAUUGUGAACCAGGUGUGUACCUGCUGCAGGGUCCAGGGUGGCCUGUGAUGCUGAGUUAGUACACAGACCUUUCCAUCAAGUCCUGUUCGUGGCACUGCCAUGACAGGACCAGAGUUGUGGCUCUGCAGCCGGACUCCCCGUUGGGUACUUUCUGAACUGCACAGCUCCAUCCUCCACUCCUCAGCUGUGACCCUGACCAUUGGCACUGCAGGAGGCUCUGCCAACCUGUAGCUGCUGGCACCUCACCUGUGGAGAUCUUUGUUUUGCACCCUCAGUGGUUGUCCUUUGUUAACAUUAUCAGAACAUCUGAAAGGUCAGGCAGAGGUAGGGUUUGGUUUGGCUUGGUUUAGUUUGCUAUUUUUGCCCUACAAAGGGUAGAGAAAGGUGUUUUCAUGAACUGACCAGAUCCUUGUCUUUCUUCAAAGAAAAGUUGAGGUAAUGUCAUCUCGCAAAGUUGAGUGGUUUAUUCAAAAUAAACUCAUUUUCUGAUUAUAAAA